CACCGGGCCGACCGCCAGGACCUCCACCGCCGGGACCGUCUCCUCCAGGACCUCCACCGGGCCGACCGCCUGGACCUCCGCAACGUCGCCUCAUUUCUUCUGAAAUGAGACACACGUUCUAUUUGCACCCCGGACAUUCCUCCCCGUUCAUGAUGCACUGGAGAAGAGUUUAGCUUUACUGGAUGAGGAGCCGCCGCCUCCGGACCCUCCAGGACGCCGCCGCCGCCGGGCCCUCCAGGUUGGUCUCCACCACCGGGACCUCCAGGUUGGACACAACCGCCGCCUCCAGGCCCUCCAGGCUGGCCGCCUCCAGGCCCUCCAGGCUGGCCGCCUCCAGGCCCUCCAGGCUGGCCGCCUCCAGGCCCUCCAGGCUGGCCGCCUCCAGGCUGGCCGCCUCCAG
ensembl:lncRNA